GAGACUGCCGGUGACAAACCGGAGGAAGGUGGGGAUGACGUCAAGUCCUCAUGGCCCUUACGGGCUGGGCUACACACGUGCUACAAUGGUGCGCACAGAGGGCUGCAAACCCGCGAGGGGGAGCCAAUCUCACAAAACGCAUCGUAGUCCGGAUCGCAGUCUGCAACUCGACUGCGUGAAGUCGGAAUCGCUAGUAAUCGCGGAUCAGAAUGCCGCGGUGAAUACGUUCCCGGGCCUUGUACACACCGCCCGUCACACCAUGGGAG
rnacentral:rRNA from 1 species